GCCAGGGCUCAAUCCUUCCAGCUAGCUUCACAAACAUGGUCACUUCAUGGUCAUCUCCAGGCCACUCUGAUGCAGCACGUGGCUCCGUCUCAGGAAUACGUAGCCGUUUUUCCAGAACGGGCCUGUUAAACCCUCUGAAAGAACAGAAAGUGAUGAACCUGGGUCUUGUUCUGGCUCCAUUGUGUACUGGGCUGGGUGGCUUCGGCUGAGCUAUUAAACAUUCCUUGGCUUGAA